UGCGAACUGCCCCCCGUUCCUCCCAUCGCUCCCGAAGCCAGAGCAUCUAUAUUUCUGCUUCCCCCUCGAUCUUUCUUUUCUUCUCCUUCAUCGGAGAAGAUUCGUCGUUCCCCAGCUUUCCCCCUCGUCCCCUCCGUUCUCGGCCGUUCCAAAUCCUAGAUUUCUAGGGUUUUUGGCUUCUUGAUCCGCUUGGAUUUGCCCGCAGCCCCGCGCCUCUCGAUCGCCUCGCGGCUUCGGAGGCCAAGAUGCCUCUCAGACUAGAAAUAAAGAGGAAACUCGCUCAAAGGUCAGAAAGAGUAAAAUCUGUGGAUCUGCAUCCAACAGAGCCAUGGGUUCUUGCAAGUCUUUAUUCUGGAAGUGUCUGCAUCUGGAACUACCAAACACAGACUAUUGUGCAAUCGUUUGAGAUGACUGAAUUACCUGUGCGAUCAGCAAAAUUUAUAGCACGCAAACAGUGGGUUGUUGCUGGAGCAGAUGAUAUGUUCAUUCGGGUGUAUAAUUAUAAUACAAUGGACAAGGUUAAAGUUUUUGAAGCACACACAGAUUACAUUAGGUGUGUGGCUGUCCACCCAACACUUCCAUAUGUUCUGUCAUCAUCUGAUGACAUGUUGAUAAAGCUUUGGGACUGGGAGAAGGGUUGGAUGUGUACUCAGAUUUUUGAGGGACAUUCUCACUAUGUGAUGCAAGUCACUUUUAAUCCAAAAGACACCAAUACUUUUGCAAGUGCCUCCCUUGAUCGUACAAUAAAGAUUUGGAAUCUUGGUUCGCCAGACCCAAAUUUUACAUUAGAUGCCCAUUCCAAAGGAAUAAAUUGUGUUGAUUACUUUACUGGUGGUGAUAGGCCGUAUCUAAUUACUGGUUCUGAUGACCAUACUGCAAAGGUCUGGGAUUACCAAACCAAGAGUUGUGUUCAAACACUGGAAGGCCACACGCACAAUGUUUCAGCUGUCUGUUUUCACCCUGAGCUGCCAAUUAUAAUAACGGGUUCUGAAGAUGGAACUGUUAGGAUAUGGCAUGGGACUACAUAUCGCCUUGAGAACACACUAAAUUAUGGACUUGAACGGGUUUGGGCAGUGGGAUACAUGAAAGGAUCAAGGAGGGUCGUAAUUGGUUAUGAUGAAGGAACCAUUAUGAUAAAAAUUGGCCGUGAAGUACCUGUUGCUAGUAUGGACAACAGUGGGAAAAUCAUAUGGGCUAAGCAUAAUGAAAUUCAAACUGUAAACAUAAAAACAAUUGGUGCAGAUUUUGAGGUGACGGACGGAGAAAGAUUGCCUUUGGCUGUGAAGGAGUUGGGGAGUUGUGAUCUUUAUCCACAAAGCCUAAAGCACAAUCCGAAUGGAAGAUUUGUUGUUGUCUGUGGAGAUGGAGAAUACAUUAUAUAUACCGCUUUGGCAUGGAGAAAUAGAUCGUUUGGCUCUGCUCUGGAAUUUGUCUGGUCAUCUGAUGGAGAGUAUGCAGUUAGGGAAAAUACUUCAAGAAUUAGGAUAUUCAGCAAGAACUUUCAGGAAAAGAAAAGUAUACGGCCUACGUUCUCAGCAGAACGUAUUUUUGGGGGAACUCUACUGGCUAUGUGUUCCAAUGACUUUAUUUGCUUUUAUGAUUGGGCUGAAUGCAGAUUAAUUCGGCGGAUUGAUGUCAAUGUCAAAAAUCUCUAUUGGGCUGAUAGUGGUGACCUAGUUACAAUUGCCAGUGACACAUCGUUUUACAUCCUAAAGUAUAAUAGAGACACUGUUUCUUCUUGUCUGGAAAGUGGAAAGGCCAUGGAUGAGCAAGGUGUUGACGAUGCAUUUGAGCUUCUUCAUGAAACAAAUGAGCGGGUCCGGACAGGACUAUGGGUUGGAGACUGUUUCAUCUACAAUAAUUCAUCUUGGAGAUUAAACUAUUGUGUUGGUGGUGAGGUCACCACCAUGUUCCACUUGGACCGCCCUAUGUACUUGCUUGGAUAUCUUGCUAGUCAAAGUCGGGUGUAUCUUAUUGACAAGGAGUUUAAUGUCAUGGGGUACACCUUACUCCUUAGUUUGAUUGAAUAUAAAACACUUGUGAUGCGUGGGGACUUGGAGCGUGCAAAUGAAAUUUUACCAUCAAUUCCCAAGGAACAUCACAAUAGUGUAGCUCAUUUCUUGGAGUCUCGGGGUAUGCUAGAGGAUGCUUUGGAAGUAGCUACUGAUCCAAAUUACAAAUUUGAUCUUGCUAUUCAGCUUGGGAGGUUAGAGGUUGCAAAGGCAAUAGCCCUUGAAGUGCAAAGUGAAUCUAAAUGGAAACAGUUGGGAGAAUUAGCUAUGUCUACUGGGAAGUUAGAGCUGGCUGAGGAAUGUUUGUCGCAUGCAGUGGAUUUGAGUGGUUUAUUGCUUCUUUACUCUGCUUUUGGUGAUGCUGAGGGAAUAACUAAACUUGCAUCUCUUGCUAAAGAGCAAGGGAAAAACAAUGUUGCAUUUCUUUGUCUAUUUUUGCUAGGUAGAUUGGAAGACUGCCUUCAGCUAUUGGUGGAGAGCAAUCGUAUACCUGAAGCAGCAUUGAUGGCACGGUCCUACCUGCCAAGCAAAGUCUCUGAGAUUGUUGCAAUUUGGAAAAACGAUCUUAACAAGGUCAAUCCUAAAGCUGCUGAGUCUUUGGCUGAUCCUGAAGAGUAUCCAAAUCUAUUUGAAGACUGGCAGGUUGCUCUUGCCGUUGAGUCUAAUCUUGCCCAUGAAAGACAUAAUUAUCCUCCUGCUAAUGAAUAUUUAAGCUACGCUGAAAAGUCAAAUAUCAGUCUUGUUGAAGCAUUCAAACACAUGCAAGUUGAUGAAGAGAAUUUGCCGCUCGAAAAUGGAGAUUCUGGCCAAGAGGUAAUGGAUGAGAAUGUCGAAGAGGAUGGCCAAGUCGAAGCUGUUGAAGCUGAUGCAGACGAUUCUACAGACAGUGCAAUCCUCAUUAAUGGCAAUGAGGGUGAUGAAGAAUUAGCUACAAGUAAUGAAGGAACUCUGUCAGCCUAAAGCAGUUCGUUCCACAAGUGUAGAAUCCAAAUUUUGUUAUCUGUUCUUACUCCAACUUUGUAGGGAGCUUACAAGACAAUCGGUUGUUUUUACCUCUCAGGUUGCUAAGAGGAAACCAUAUUGGCGAAGAUCCUUUGACCAUCUCUCAUCAUUCAAUGGAAGCCCCAGGCUAAAUGGAAAUUUACUUCUGGUCAGUAUUAAUAGUUCUUUUGCUGUUGGUGUAUUAUCAAAAGCUUCUGCAUGUACCGUUGAAAAGCUAGAAAUAUAGUGAAAGUUAGAGGUAGCACAUUUUUCAUUGGAUUUUUUUUAUUCUUUGGUGGAAGUUGUAAAAUUGAAUGCAAUCGGUGACUUUUGGUUGUUCAAACUUCGUACUUGCUGGCCCAUUUUAGUCACGGAUGAGAGAUAUAGUAGGGUUGCUAUGCAUAUGUUGGUUUAGCUGUUUCACAGACUAGACCUUUUUAA